UACGUAGGGGGCAAGCGUUGUCCGGAAUCAUUGGGCGUAAAGAGCGUGUAGGCGGCUCGAUAAGUCCGUUCUGAAAGUCCAGGGCUCAACCCUGGGAUGCGGAUGGAUACUGUCGGGCUCGAGUCCGGAAGAGGCGAGUGGAAUUCCCGGUGUAGCGGUGAAAUGCGCAGAUAUCGGGAGGAACACCAAUGGCGAAGGCAGCUCGCUAGGACGGUACUGACGCUGAGACGCGAAAGCGUGGGGAGCGAACAGG
rnacentral:rRNA from 1 species